rnacentral:rRNA from 1 species
UCAGUAACACGGUAGUCAACAUGCCCAGGGGACGUGGAUAACCUCGGGAAACUGAGGAUAAACCGCGAUAGGUCAUAAUAUCUGGAAUGAUUUAUGGCCAAAAUCUACAUGGCCCCUGGAUUGGACUGCGGCCGAUCAGGCUGUUGGUGAGGUAAUGGCCCACCAAACCUAAAACCGNGUACGGGGCUCUGAGAGGAGAAGCCCGGAGAUGGGCACUGAGACAAGGGCCCAGGCCCUAUGGGGCGCAGCAGGCGCGAAAACUCUGCAAUAAGCGAAAGCUUGACAGGGUUAUUCUGAGUGAUUUCCGCUAAGGAAAUCUUUUGGCACCUCUAAAAAUGGUGCAGAAUAAGGGGUGGGCAAGCCUGGUGCCAGCC